rnacentral:lncRNA from 1 species
UUUGAUUUUGUCAAUACAAUAAAAAAAAACUGUUAAAUUACUAUGAGCCUUUUUAAUGGUUGGUUUUCAAAAUAACAAUUAAAAUUGAGAUUGAUUGCCUAAAUGACCUUUAAUUAGAUAAGAUUAAAUCUAUUUUUAAUAAAAGUAGGAACUAUAAUUUUAUUUUUUUUGUUUACAAUAUUAAUAGCAUUGUUACAACUAAAUCUGAACCAUACUAGGUACGG